rnacentral:rRNA from 1 species
UACGGAGGGUGCAAGCGUUGCUCGGAAUUAUUGGGCGUAAAGGGUAGGUAGGUGGUCUCGUUUGUCUGGGGUGAAAGCCUUGAGCUUAACUCAAGAAGUGCCUUAGAAACGGCGAGACUAGAGUCUUGGAGAGGGUCGUGGAAUUCCCGGUGUAGCGGUGAAAUGCGUAGAUAUCGGGAGGAACAUCAGUGGCGAAGGCGGCUGCCUGGCCCAAUACUGACACUCAGGUGCGACAGCGUGGGGAGCAAACAGG